rnacentral:misc_RNA from 1 species
GGGAAAGUUGGCAGUUCAACCAAAAAAUAUAUAUUUUGAAUAUAACCAUUACAACUUAGAAGUUAUCAACAGAAAUAUCGGAAUAAAAAAAAGAAUUGCUUGGAUUCAAAGCACAAAAUGGAUCGGCUCAAUUCAGAGCUUGUGUCCAAAAGAAACACGUGGGGGCGGAAGAGCUUGCAGUUUAAUUAACGAUGAAAGCCUGAACAACAACGCUAUGCAAUGCAAGCGAGGAGAGGAUUCAGCUGAAAAUAAUCGACAAAAAUAGCCGUUGUGCUUUAAUUAAAAGAACCAAAUUUCUGAACACUGCGUUCUUUAUUAAUGCAAUAAUACUAGCAUUGCAUUGCUGCGCGCAACCUAAAAAAAAAAAAAAUGAUUUGAAA